AAAAGAGCGCGUGAUGUGUUCGCAGUUAUGCGGUGGAACUGUUUUACCCAACAUCCCUACUUUUCAUGGGAUUAUUACAUUAAUGUACAAACUAAUUAUUUGUCGGUGUUGUCCUUUGGGGUGACUAAGCAGAUGACGAGGUAAACGGACCAAAAAAGCACUUUCCUAUUAUACGGUGAUGAGUGGAUUUUUCUGGAGAAGAACCCUGCUCAAAAUCUGUUAGCAUACUCUUAACUCUCUGGUCAGUUGUUGGUAAUACGGUGCCUGUUCUGAGAAAACCAUGAUAUUCACACAGUUCUUACACAACCUGCCUGCCUCUCACUGAGGAAAUCACCAUUACCAGGUUUCUGUUCCAUUCAGUAUACACUCAUGUGCUUUUGUACCAGGUGAUCCAAUGCUGACAAAAAAAACUUUUGGUGUAACAAGCAAGAGGACAAUGAAGCAUCUGCUGUCUAUAAGGCUAAAAUUACAGGUUAUGAAAAGCACCCCAUGGACUUUUGGGGGAAAAAAAAAAUAAAAGUGUUCCCUGACAAAAGCCUGUAACCUCCCACAUUAUAAUAUUUACUUGUGUUGUUUGUUCUGUCUGUAUGCCUUUCACUUUAUUGUUGUUUUUCCUUUGCUAGGCACUCCAUGAGGAUAUAAAUAAUUGAGUUUUUCUAUAUAUUUUCUUUUAUAAUUAUCAGAUAUAAUAAUCAGCAAGUUUCUUACACUGGAUUUUUUUUUACAACCAAUAAUAUAGAUAAAAGUUCAGUCGGUGGUGUACUUACAGUUACUUGACUUUGUCACAGCUCAGUGUCAUGCCGUGUGCUCUACAUUCCUUUCCUGGAGAAAACAAAAAUAAAGGGAUAAUUAUGAAGCACAAA